UAAACUAGGAUUAGAUACCCUAUUAUUAUAUAAUGUAAAUUUAUUUACUAAAUUAGUAACAGUUAUGUUCUUGAAAAUUAAAAAAUUUGGCGGUAUUUUAGUCUUUUCAGAGGAAUCUGCCCUGUAAUUGAUAGUCCACGAUUAAUUAUACUUUAUUUAUAAGUUUACAUAUCGUCGUAGUUUAAAUAUUUUAAUAGAAUUUUAAUAUUUGGAAUUUUUUAUUAAAAAAUAAAUCAGAUCAAGGUGUAGUUUAUAAUAAAGAAGAGGUGGUUUACAUUGAAUAUAUUUAAGGAUAAUUAUUUUAAAAUUAAUUUGAAUAUGGAUUUGANAGUAAUUUUU
rnacentral:rRNA from 1 species